rnacentral:rRNA from 1 species
GAUGAACGCUGGCGGCGUGCCUAAUACAUGCAAGUCGAGCGAACGGACGAGAAGCUUGCUUCUCUGAUGUUAGCGGCGGACGGGUGAGUAACACGUGGAUAACCUACCUAUAAGACUGGGAUAACUUCGGGAAACCGGAGCUAAUACCGGAUAAUAUUUUGAACCGCAUGGUUCAAAAGUGAAAGACGGUCUUGCUGUCACUUAUAGAUGGAUCCGCGCUGCAUUAGCUAGUUGGUAAGGUAACGGCUUACCAAGGCAACGAUGCAUAGCCGACCUGAGAGGGUGAUCGGCCACACUGGAACUGAGACACGGUCCAGACUCCUACGGGAGGCAGCAGUAGGGAAUCUUCCGCAAUGGGCGAAAGCCUGACGGAGCAACGCCGCAUGAGUGAUGAAGGUCUUCGGAUCGUAAAACUCUGUUAUUAGGGAAGAACAUAUGUGUAAGUAACUGUGCACAUCUUGACGGUACCUAAUCAGAAAGCCACGGCUAACUACGUGCCAGCAGCCGCGGUAAUACGUAGGUGGCAAGCGUUAUCCGGAAUUAUUGGGCGUAAAGCGCGCGUAGGCGGUUUUUUAAGUCUGAUGUGAAAGCCCACGGCUCAACCGUGGAGGGUCAUUGGAAACUGGAAAACUUGAGUGCAGAAGAGGAAAGUGGAAUUCCAUGUGUAGCGGUGAAAUGCGCAGAGAUAUGGAGGAACACCAGUGGCGAAGGCGACUUUCUGGUCUGUAACUGACGCUGAUGUGCGAAAGCGUGGGGAUCAAACAGGAUUAGAUACCCUGGUAGUCCACGCCGUAAACGAUGAGUGCUAAGUGUUAGGGGGUUUCCGCCCCUUAGUGCUGCAGCUAACGCAUUAAGCACUCCGCCUGGGGAGUACGACCGCAAGGUUGAAACUCAAAGGAAUUGACGGGGACCCGCACAAGCGGUGGAGCAUGUGGUUUAAUUCGAAGCAACGCGAAGAACCUUACCAAAUCUUGACAUCCUUUGACAACUCUAGAGAUAGAGCCUUCCCCUUCGGGGGACAAAGUGACAGGUGGUGCAUGGUUGUCGUCAGCUCGUGUCGUGAGAUGUUGGGUUAAGUCCCGCAACGAGUGCAACCCUUAAGCUUAGUUGCCAUCAUUAAGUUGGGCACUCUAAGUUGACUGCCGGUGACAAACCGGAGGAAGGUGGGGAUGACGUCAAAUCAUCAUGCCCCUUAUGAUUUGGGCUACACACGUGCUACAAUGGACAAUACAAAGGGCAGCGAAACCGCGAGGUCAAGCAAAUCCCAUAAAGUUGUUCUCAGUUCGGAUUGUAGUCUGCAACUCGACUACAUGAAGCUGGAAUCGCUAGUAAUCGUAGAUCGGCAUGCUACGGUGAAUACGUUCCCGGGUCU